GGUGAGCGCGUUCUUGGCGCGGAGGCGGAGGCGGAGGUGGAGGCGGAGGUGAGUUGGCUGUCUUCGUGGAGGCUCCGGCCCUCCGGAGGCCUGAGCGCAACAUUACCACAGCCAAAUCGGCCCGGUGUCCGUCGCCGGUUCGUUUGCCCGGUUCUGGACCUGGAGCCCGUUUGUCGCUUGGGAAGCAGAGCCCGCAGAAGGUGUGCCCCGCACCGCUUCGCCGGAAACGAGUGGGCUUCAGUACAUACUGAGGACGAGCACGUGUACCAUGCGGCGGGGCGGGCGACACAACCACGAAGUGACGUGGAGUGAGUCCCAGGCCGCGGGCCAGGCGUCAGGUGAAGUUUGAGCACCGACGGAGCUUGAAGCGUUGGCCUGGCCGGCACUCGACCACUUGGACACACGCUGCUUGGAAUGUGGCCGGUGCUCACUGGGGUGUGUUUGGGGGUGAAAUGCAUACGGGACUCCAGUGGCUUGGUGUGAAAAUAAUAACUUUUACGUUGAUUGCAUGUUGAAUGAUAAUAUUUGGAUAUACUGGAGGCGAUAGAAUGUGUUGUUAAAAUCAUUUUGGGUUGUUUUUUUUUUUUUUUUUCCUGAAGAUUGUGUCUAGGAACGCGCUACCACUGAGCUCGUCCUGAGCUCUCUUUGUUGCCAAUAGCUUGGACCUUUUCCUCGAUGCCAAUCCAAUAAGGAGGACACAGUUUUGAGAAAAAAGAGAAACACAGGAAGAUUCCUGUCCCAAAGGCUAUGAUUCUGCCUAUCUGCAGGAACCAGGGGACUUUUAUAGAGGUGAUUCAGAGAAAAUGAGACUAGGGAGGAGAGAUCAGGAAGGAGAAGAUGGGGUAGGGGAAGAAGUUUAAGGAAAAGAAGAUUGGGUAAAAGAAAAAAAAAAGUGUUUCAAAGCCACAUGAGAUAUGGUCAAAGCAUCUCAUCAAGUGAACGUGUUACAUAUUUAUUUUUAUUUUGACACAGUCUGGGUAGGAUUAUAGUCAUGCAACCUUUUUUUUUUAAUGUCACUACCAGAAAAGUUGAAAUUGCAUAUGGGUUUGCAUUAUGUUUAUGUGGCCUUAAACCAAAAUUGGGGGUGGGGGAGACUGGCAUUGCAGGCUGAAGUUUUGUUUGUUUUCCCCUGUAGAUGAGUUUUAGUACAACAUUUAGGAGCUUCUGGAAACACCAUCAGUUUUAUUUCGAAACUAAUUACAUUGUAUUCUUUUCAGGCCAGCUGCUUGGUAGGAAAAAAACAAUACCAUUGAACUACACCCUCAGCUCCUGAUUAUAUUUUCUGAUUAAUGAAAGCUGGAGAGGCUGAGGCAGGAGGAUCUCAAGGUCAAAACCUGCCUCAGCAACUUCUGGAGGCCCUACUUAGUGAGAUCCUGUCACAAAAUUGAAAAGUAGAAAGGGCUAGGGAUUUGGUACAGUGGUUAAGUGCCUCUGAGUUCAGUUUCUGGUGCCAUGCCUCUUCAUAUACUGAUGAGUAUAAUCAAUUUAGUACUUGUUCCAUGCUAGGUGUCCCACUAAGGUACUUUACAUGCAUAACCUCAAUCAUUCCAACCAUGUCCUCAGGGGUACACAGCAGCCUGAAAGGCUCUAUUAACUCUCAUAACACUCAACUUUUAUACUUGCUAAUAGCAAAUCCUUCUACAAUUCUGCAUGCCCUGCAACAUCUACCUGACCACAUUUUUAUUAUAUCUGUAUCCACUUUUAGCUUGUAGGAUAUUGCCAAGUAUGGCCUGUGCCUUAUCCACAGCAACAGCCUCAACACCUCACACAGGAGGCCUUCCAUAAAUGCUUGAAAAAUGGAUGACAACCGCAGGAACUCAAGUUGUCAAAACUGUGAUGAGCUACAUCAUAGGCAUCAGGCAAACCCAAGAGAUGGCCCUCCAGACAGAUGUCAGUGGAGCCUUCGCAGCACUGCAUACUGUCUUCAGGGGGGCAGUGCAUAAUCCUAGGAGAAAAAGUGGCCCUGGGCUGAGGGCAGUUGCCAAGGAAGGUAACUUCCCUUCUUGUCUGCCAGGACCCAUGGUUGCUGUGCCCUUCUCAGGCAUGGCUAUUGUACUGGUCCACCUGCCAUUGGAGUUGGGCAGCAGAGCACCAAGAGACACCCAGUGAGUCACUCUACUAGACUGGCCAUCUAGAACAGCAGAGGUGCUAGCCGGGUUGUGGGAUCUGCGUAGCUCCAAGAACGCUCCAGACUUCUUGUCAGUUCCCCUAGGAAAGGGCAUCAACCAGAGUCCUGGAGCUGCUCUUCCCAGAUGGGUGGACAUAAAUGAAGCCAAGGGAAGCCUAUCAUGGGUGCAGCCCAGACCUCCCCUUUAGGACUGAGGCUUUCUCGCCCAGCUGCUGCUGAUUUGUGGAGAAAGUUUCUACCUUGGCCUUGUCUUUGUGACUGUUGCUCAUGACAUCGACCUGUUCCUUACCAUCAGUCUUCUGACUUGUACUGGCCUCCCUUCUAGCCCUUGUGUCAUUUGUGGACAAAAUAUGUUUUCUAAUCUACAGCAUGGCUAAGAUCUAACAUCUAUGGCUUCACAUUCAUUUGUGUACCAAAAUCAAUCAUAAAUUUGUCCUGCAAACAGGCCUAUUGCCUCCUUUUAUGUUUUCAUCACCUCCUUUGCAAAAAGAUGGACCCUCAGUUUAAUGCAGAAAUUUUCAGUUUUAUACCCAGCCACUCCCAUGGGUGGACUAGACACUCUGAAGCCCACACAGACCCAGUGAAUCACAUCCUCCCUCACCAUGCAAGUGCUGGGAUGAUGGGAAGGGAGUCUUCUACUGGGGGCCCAUGUUUCCACCGAAGACUCCUGUUGCGUAUUGGAAGGAUGGAUAUUG